rnacentral:rRNA from 1 species
UACGUAGGGUCCGAGCGUUGUCCGGAAUUAUUGGGCGUAAAGAGCUCGUAGGCGGUUUGUCGCGUCUGCUGUGAAAACCCAGGGCUUAACCCUGGGCUUGCAGUGGAUACGGGCAGACUAGAGGCAGGUAGGGGAGAAUGGAAUUCCCGGUGUAGCGGUGAAAUGCGCAGAUAUCGGGAGGAACACCGGUGGCGAAGGCGGUUCUCUGGGCCUGACCUGACGCUGAGGAGCGAAAGCGUGGGGAGCGAACAGG